GGUCUUAAAGUAUAAUAAAUAUGUCGGAUUGCAAAUCUGGAGAUGUGCAGAGCACUAUGGCUU
rnacentral:tRNA from 2 species